UUAAAGAGUGACCAGCACUGGUGGACAUCAAGGCCUUCAAGAGCAGCUUCCCAGGGGAAACUUUCAACAUAAUGUGUGUGUGUGCAUACACUAGCUUUCGGAAGCUUUGUCCCUUUUAGUCCUUGUUCGCUUUUCCAUUUCAGAGAACAGGAUGGUGCAAACUUGCUGGCUGCAAUAGUGCUGUGUGUGUACAAAGUUAAGGUUUUGUACAGGUAUUACAGAGACGUUUAUGCUCUGUAAACUCAGUUUUAUACAAGUGUUUCUGUACCUGCAGCUCGGCAAUAUCAUGGUAAGUGUGUGAAGAACGUAAGCCAGAAUUGCUCAAAAGCAGCUGAGGACAGGCAGUGAAGGCUAAAGCAGCUUGUUAGUUCUGUGCAGCCAGCUGCAUCAGAGGUGCAAAUGAGGACAAGAAUGAAGUACACUUGCUUGUGCCAAAAGGCUCUGCUGCCAGCUGCCUUCACGAGUGGCCACUGCUUUUUUUCCCCUUGGAGGCUAAAUUCAGGUGUCCCUUUUUAGAAAGGGCAGGGGGAAGUAUCUGGGUUUGAGCACUCCAAGUGGGAGUGAGUCCGGGAUCCGAGCAACCCCUCCAGAACCAAUGCGUGAUUAAAUGCAGGAAAACUGCUUCUCAUUUGUUGUUUGUGUUAAGUUCACCAUCUGGUCACUGGAUCUUGCUAAACGCCUUUGUAUGCAAGAUGAAGACGCCCCCGGUUUCAGCCAGCUUCUCCUAUUACAGAUAUAUAGCAAGCUGGCCACCUUUCAGUCCUCCUCUUCACUAAUUAGUUCAGGCUGUUGAACUUGGGCUGCAACAAUGCAAUCAAUGAAAGGCAGCUAGAUGUAAGGGGACACAGCCGUAUGUAAAGUAAGACACCUGAGGUGGGACAUGAGAAAAUUCCAUUAGGUACAUUCAGUGUACAGGAUUUAGUCAGGUCCUGUUUUAUGAAGAGAGAAAAUGACAAACUAUGCUUGUAAUGUAAGGAAUGAAGCUAGAAGUUGAGAAAAUUAAAGGAGGGAACAAAGAAUCAGAAGCUAAAACAGAAACUGAAGCAGGGAAAAUGACGGCUAAGAAACAGAGAAUAUACUAUCAGCUUCCCUCUUUUUUUUUUUUUUUUUUUUUUUUUGAGUGUUGUCUAGUACAUCUGACAGCACUGAAGUCUGCAGUUAGCUGGUUGGCUGGCAGUUGUGUGUUACUGGAAAAAAAAAUCUGCAGUUUUUAUUUCACCCUCUUCCCCAUACCUGGAGACUGAGCUAAAAGGAUCAACUGUACACAUAAAGUCUAGGCAGACUUGUAUCCAUAUUUUUGAGUUAUUAAUGAAAGGCUUCUGCAGUUCUUCAUACUUUGACCUCAAUAACUGAGAAAGAGGAUGUCCUAGCCACAAGUUGUGUGCAAACACGUGUGUGAAAGUAUUUUCCUUUCUCCCACUUUCCUGUUUCUCUGCAGAAAAGGAGAACACUGGGUUUUGGAGUCUGAUUGAUUUCCUCAGCUAUUUUGAUAGCUCAAGGUAUUGGUAGCAAUCCCAACUAGAGGGCUGGAAGUCAAUACUGUAAAAUACUGAAGAAACACAUUGCUAAAUAGUAGUAAUGGUCAUACAGGUAAUAGCAUAAGCAUUGUGGUCUGCCAGGCAGGUACAAAACAAACUGUUACGAUAUACGAUAUAGCUAAAAUAUUUCUUAGGGCCAUGUUUUUUGUCUGGCUUAGGCCCCCUGCUGCAGCUGAGCACCUAGCUCAGUGUAACCUGUGGUGAUGCCGUGGGCAGCAGCAGGAGUGCCCAAGUGGGCACAGGGAGAGAAGGCCGAGCAGCGCUUUUUGGUUGGGUUAGCAGCCUGGGGGAUGGGGCUUCUGUUACCCAAAGCUCCCAGUGCUGUGAAUACUGGAUGCUUGAGUGAUCUGUUUUGUCUGCAAGCCCCACCAUAGCUUUGCUGGUGGCACUUCUAUUGCAUGGGCAGUUCCACAGACUGAGUCUUUCUCUGAAAGUGAAGAUACAAAAAGCUAGCAUCUGGAUCUCUCUGAUUACAAAGAUAGAGACAUUUUUCCUUUUGUUUCACUACAAAGGUAAAACAAAUGAUCUGGAUCUGGGUCUGAUCUUGGUUUAUGUUUGCCCAGAAGAAUGUUACUGCAUCCAUGGUUACAAUGUGCUUUCCUGCAUGGACCACAAGGCUUCUAAGCAUUUACUUCAGGGAUCUUUGCACUGCGUGGUGGGACCACUGAUGGAACUCCCAUGGGUUGUAAGGGCAUUUCUCUGGCUCCUUAGAUGCACGGUCCCAGAGGAGCUGGAAGUUUCUCUUUUUCGGGAAGGCCAGAUUAGUGCACAACUGAAGAAGAGAAGCCAUACGUUUUGACAAGAAACAGGCAAGUUGUUAGGAAUGACAAAGAAGAUGUCUGAAGGUAAGGCUCAAAUUAAGCAGUCUUGCCUUAUGUUUGUGAAAUAAUGCAAGCUGUUCUCCUUUGUGCAGGGCCAGCUUUGGCCCUGGAUGUUUAGUGACUAAAAUGAAGCACUGGUAUGUAUUCGGAGGAGCACGGAUACGAAUUCAAAGGUACCUGGGAAAGCACAGAAGAGAAGAUGGAUGAGAGAUUUCCCUGUGGAGCCUUGCUGGACAGUCCACCUAGGCACAGGAAGCAAAGACCAUACCAGUCGCUGAUGUCUUCUGCAGAGCAGUCACUCAUGGAACCAGUGUGUAGGUUGCUGACCCAGAUGUAGCCAAGCUUCGUCUUCUGUCUGGUUUUCUUCCAUUCUUCCGUCCCUUCCUCCCGCCCUCUCAGAAGCAUCCUGAAGCAAGGUCCAGUGGACACAGAUGUAGAGCAGGGGAAGAAACCUCUCAACAGCAAGGUGUUGAAGCAAGUGCUGUGUAGGCAGCAGAAGUCCUGAAACGAGCAAAUAACUCCAGCUGUGUGAGACAGUUGGUCUUAGAGAAUCCCAUCCGAGCAGCCAAACCAUCCCUUUUUGGAGACUGGUUUGUGCUGCCUGAAAACUGUGGACUGGUUCUCUACUUCGAAUGCCUUACCACGAACUUCAUUUUUCUUGGCAGAUCAAAGACCUCUAAUACUCCACUCUGGAGAUUAGGAAGGGAACAGCAGCCGCUCCCUAACCAAGCAGAUGACUGGAACUGUGAAGGGCAAAGCACAGCCAGCAGUUACCUGUAUCUCAGGCUAGGAGACUGGAACCCUGCGCUGCUACUUGAAGUGUUUUGCAUUCCCCUUCUUCUCUGGAUGCGGUAUCUGUCCCUGCUCUGGAGCUGUAGCACCGUGGCAUCCCUGCUGUCCACAGACCCCAUGUGGAAGAGCUGUCCCAUGCUCCCUCUGCUGCCUUAUAUCAAGGACUGAUUCCAGCAGCUCUGACCAGGAACGUGAGUUAAAGUCUAAAUUGUUAAAGGCUGAAUUGUACCCAGUGGUUUUUGCAGUACAGAGCAGUGUGGUCCAAAAUCUGUUGCUAUGUGUCUGAGAGUCUCUGUUAAAGGGGCAGCUGACAGUGUCUUUCAGGGCCUCAUUUUCAUCUUUUUCAAGCCUGGGGGUGGCAAGCAAUUAGACCUGUCAGUGUUCAGCAAACAGUAACUGCUUUUGUAGGUGUUAUCAAAUUAAUCCAUCAUUCAAAGCUGUGCUUUUUACUUGAAGCAAGUGAAAAACUGCAUCUUGACUAUUAACAAGUACUGGUAGAUGUAUAUACGAGAGCCUGUUCUGAUUUUUAUUAGGAUAUUUAGAGGUUUUUCAGUAAGUCCUUCUUGCCAUGUUCUAAGUUUAUGUGAAGCCAUUUGGAGGAGGGGUCAGGUUUUUUAAGUCAUCAAGAUCACCAAAGUAACAGCACAUUUUGAUUCUUUGAUUAGAGCCUCAAAAUGGGCAAAGAGCAUUAAUAGAAAUCAAAGCACUCAGUUGCAUGCUUUCCAGCAUGAAUUUUCAGGAUAUAACCAUGCAAGUGAUAAAGACCUACACUUGGCACGUGCUAAAAAUGAGUUCAACAGCUCAACCCAAUUCAUUAAAAAAAAACAACAAAAAAAAACCGUUUCUGAUACUAAAUUCAUGUGUCUGUGCCUAAGAUAGAUUUCUUCAAAUCAAAUAGUCUCUACGUGAAUUUUCUAGGAAAAAAAUAUUUUGGAAAUUGUAUUUUUAUUGUAGUGAAAAUAAGAUAGCAUUAUGUUUAUAUGUAUACACACAAAAAGGAACAAUACACUGUAUAUACAACAAAAUGCCUUGUGCUCAGCAUAACCGAUAAUCUCCUCAGCUUGUGCCCAGCAAAUACCUGAAUACCUUGGAGCAGGUGCCUGGUCCCAGCUGCCGUACCCAGCUUAGCAGAGGCAGUGCAGAACCUCCCCGGGACUGACAGCCCAGCUGCACAGAAGCGAACCCCAAGCCUGGCACCUCCCCGCGCUGUGCAGUGGUGGUGACCACGAGGCCUCAGUGUCCCAGGACGGCUCACCCAUGUCCCUGCAAGAGUGGGGCUGUGCCUUACGAAGUCCGGACCAGCGCUGCGCUGCUCUAAGAGCCCAGGGUCACACAGCACAAGAUUCAUGGCUCUGAUGACCAUGCCUGCUACUCAAGGCAAGAAGACACCAUGCAAAUGAUCCAGCGAGGCUCUCCAGAAGAGGAAGAGGAAUCACACUGAAAUCUUUACUGGUUUAGAUAUGCGGCCUAUAGACAAGUAAGUAAGUCUCACUAUUGUUGAAUUUUAAUAAGUAUCAUUUGGCUGUUGGCACACAUGGGCUGAGAACUACAAAUAAUUAUCUUGGUAAAGAUAACAGUUACCUUGGCCUUCUUUGUAGGUAGAGGCUGAUUUGAGACUCUUUGUGCCUUAAUCCUGACUGCAAUGUUAGUGCCUUAACAACAGAUUUGGUGACUGAGCAGAGGUCCCACAUACCUUAACAUGCAGUCAAAACUCUUGUCUUAACUUCAAGAUAAAAUUCAGUUUCUGUACCUCAGGACACGCAACCCCUCUCGGUUCAGCUAUUUUUAAAUGUUUGAGGCUGGCUGCUCCUGCUGGAGAAAUUCUACCCUGACUGCCAUGAAGCUGAGAUUACCAGAGCUGGGGUUUUUUGCUUGUUUGUUUUUCCCAAUAAAAAAAAUUGCCAUCUACCAAAUAUGCAUCCAUUUAAAUACCACAGCCUGAUUUUGAAACACAGCCCACCGCAGGCUAUUGCCCAGUUCAGUAAAGAAAAUUUAACUAUUAGUUGGCUGAAUUCAACGUGGAGUAAACACUAAAUACAAUUUUUAAAAAGAUGGGCACCAAUGCCACUAGCAUUUCGUCGUUAAACUAUUAAUCUUCCUAUUUCAACAAUUAAGUGCACUCUGAAAAUAAGCUGUCAGGGAAAUAAAUAACAGAUAAACAACUCAUAUUAACAACAAAUUGUCUAUGUACAACAAAAUUCUAUGUUAGUCACUUAACCUUUACAGAAUAUUGUUAUAAUGGAAGCCCUUUUGUGCCCCAGCUUGUGUCUCUGUCAGGAGCAGCUGGAGAGCCAACUAUCUCGACUUAACAACACGAUGCUGCAGAAUUACAGCUCUGCCUUGCUCAGGCACCAGAUGUGGUGACUGAACGUCAGCGGUGAUGCUUAGUGUUUGGGGAGAGCCUUCCAGUACUGGGUUCUGUUUUGCUAAUGCCAGCUGACAAAAGUUAAAGCAGGCAGCCAUAGAAAAUAACAGCCUCUGCAGUGAGGUUAGGGUUGUAUUUAUAACAGGAAUGCUUUACAAUAAUGCUGACACCAUUUUAUCAUCACGGUUCUCUCCUACAAACCAUUCAUGUGCAAACUAAAGAGCUCUUCCCACUACUGCUUUAUACCUGUACCAUUGCUACAGUAGGCUCCAGUGAAGGGGAUAAAUGCCAGACAGGAAUUGUAAGGGUGCAUUUUAUUUUUAGUUUGUGCAUGUAUCUUCUCUUUUUUUUUGUAUGUUUGUUGUUUUUUUUGUUUUGUUUUGUUUUUGUUUGUUUGUUUUGCAUUGGUAUACAAACUCACAUUGUCCAUUUCAGAGUUAAAGAAAAUGAACUUUCAUAACCUCUGCCACUUCGGAUCACCUCUUUAAAAUGUCACUUUACGCAGAAAAGCCGGAGGUAAUUGAGAUAAACAGACAUCUGUACAUUUCAGCCAGUCAUUUAGAAAACAUCUGUAUCCAUCCAUGCAAUGUUAAGACUAUAAGUAACUUUGCAGUUACAUCUGAGCCCAUUGCUAUGGCAACAAGGUAGUCUUUAUCUCCCACAUGCUUUCUACUGAUUCCUUUUUUUUUUUUUCUUAAAGCAGCUUCCUGAAAUGAAAAACAGAGAAGCAAUGAUUAAGUUAGUCUCUUUCAAACUUUGGAUUCAAGGCUCAUGUGAGGCAGCCCUUUCUAUUUUCCAGCUGUGGAAAAUUUAGAAGCUGAUCUGUCUCAAGAUGAAAAAAUGAACAACUGACAUGGAAAAAUGUGAACUGCAGUUAUUUUCAAUUAAAAGAAGUGGAGUUGGUGAUCUUGGAACACAAGGGUUUUGCUACUGCAGUUAAUUUUCAUCUGAUCCCAAGGAAUUGUACUGCAGUAUCUUUCAAACUAACAGAGCUAUCUGUAAUUUGCUGUUUGCUACAGUGAGAAACCAGUUCAAUUCUGCAAUAGCCUUUUCCAUGCUUAACUUGCAUCAAAGCACACAGCUCAGCUUGACUAACUGUUUGGAACUGUAAGCUUUUUAUUCUGAUAACGUCUCCGCAAUAUCAGACAGUAUUGUGCUAGUGGCCUGCUAGUUUUUGGUUAGCUGCCAAGUCUUGAGCAUGGAAGAUCAAUUAGUAUGCUUUUAAAAUUUUUAUUUAAAUUUAACACCAGGUAAUAUUAACGAUGCUAAAAAGAGGUAAGAAGGUUCUAUUUGUACUUGAAGGGCCUAAUUGAUGUCCGUCAGCGCUCCUCUGACACCCAUUAACUUUGGAAUUCUUCAGUACUUUGAACGUAGCUGCUGGGGAUACCUACUUUUGACGAUACUUUUCCCUACACCCAAGCUGGAUUCACACCUCUCACCAUCGCUUAAGGAUUUGCGGUUAGCUCGUGGAUGUAAAUCCCUUCUCCUCAGCCUGCUAGAGUGAACGCUGGAUACCAUGUACACAACAAGGAAGGAGAACGAUAUGAUCCAUCUCACAGUCGGUGGACGUGUCUGCGCUGGUGGAACUGUAGGAUGUUAGCUGAGGGUACCUGCGGUAGUAGUGGCUGUAGCCAGUCGUAUCGCUUUCGUACAUGGGGUUGUACUUAACGGCAUUCUCAAUGGACGAGAGGCUGUCACCCUGCCUGGGGGAGCGACAAACAAACCGUGAGCUCUGCAGCCUGGCACUGGGAGAUGUUCUUUAAAAUAUUAGGUGGCGUCACUUACCCCUGAGAGUCCUCAGUGUCGCUCUUCGUGUAUUGGUCUCGAAGGGUCCUGGCCAAGAAGAAGAUGACAGCAGAUGCCACAAGAAGGAACCCUGCCACAGAAGCAAUGGCAAUACCCACAACCAGGGGCUCAGACACGUAUUCCUCACAGUGCUCCCCUCUGUACCACCAGUUCUCUCCUACACGACACCUGCAAAAAGGAAACACUGGGAAUUCAAACACCAGCCAAAAACUAUGACUUAAGUUAAUGCAGAUGUAUUUCAUUUCUUCUUAUGACAGUGCCUUAGUUAUCUUAAAAAUAUAUUUAUAUGCUUAAGCACUAACAUUUUAUUAUUAUUGUGAACAGCCUCUUUUGUUAUUGAGGAGUUUAGUGAAAAGAGAUAGAAAAAAUAAUAAAAGGACAAAACAUUAGUAAUGGCAAAAAGCCUGUGGUUUUUGCUAUUUAGAGUAUCCUGCAACAUGUUAAAACUGUAAGGUGUUUAGACCAAGUAAAAAGUUAGGCAGUGACAGAGCCUUGCACACGAUGUAGUAAACACUGUAAAUGUAGUCUUAAUGAUCUUGUAAUGCAAAUACACAUGAAGGCGUGUUAAUGAACAGCAUGUUUAUGGUAUGUAAACUCCACAAUGAUUAAAGACACAAAAUAAAUUACUAGAAA